GUGCAGCCCGACUUGAGCGGAAAUCCUUUUUUUUGCGGCUGGAAAAGCUUUGGCAAAAAAAAGAUUGGGAGCGGAAGGCGGAAAAAGC
rfam:Cloacibacterium normanense strain NRS-1 CloNor.contig.15_1, whole genome shotgun sequence.